UGGUGACCAGCGGAGGGAUCAUUACUGAGUUUACGCUCUACAACCCUUUGUGAACAUACCUAUAACUGUUGCUUCGGCGGGUAGGGUCUCCGUGACCCUCCCGGCCUCCCGCCCCCGGGCGGGUCGGCGCCCGCCGGAGGAUAACCAAACUCUGAUUUAACGACGUUUCUUCUGAGUGGUACAAGCAAAUAAUCAAAACUUUUAACAACGGAUCUCUUGGUUCUGGCAUCGAUGAAGAACGCAGCGAAAUGCGAUAAGUAAUGUGAAUUGCAGAAUUCAGUGAAUCAUCGAAUCUUUGAACGCACAUUGCGCCCGCCAGCAUUCUGGCGGGCAUGCCUGUUCGAGCGUCAUUUCAACCCUCAAGCUCUGCUUGGUGUUGGGGCCCUACAGCUGAUGUAGGCCCUCAAAGGUAGUGGCGGACCCUCCCGGAGCCUCCUUUGCGUAGUAACUUUACGUCUCGCACUGGGAUCCGGAGGGACUCUUGCCGUAAAACCCCCAAUUUUCCAAAGGUUGACCUCGGAUCAGGUAGGAAUACCCGCUGAACUUAAGCAUAU
rnacentral:rRNA from 1 species